AUGUAGAGAGCAGUCAUGUGUGUGGGUGAUCAAAGGUUGGUUUCCAAGGAAAUAGGUAAACAAGCUAUUUAGAUAAACUCCUCUACAUUCCCUUAUUAUCUGCUCUUCGCUAUUAGCUUAAGAUAAGAGGAUUAGGCUGCCUUCAGCCAUAAUUCUCUCCUGAGGCUUUUGGAAAACCUGGCCUUCCAAGAAGAGCCUUAAAACUUCUCUUUUGAGCUAUUGAGAACUUUAUAAAAUUUAGUAUACUCCUAUAAACAAAAUUUGGAGCAUAUUUGUCUCUCUCUACCUGAUUUCACCAGAAUUUGGAAACUACUUGGGGAAAUUUGGGCACUAAGACAGAGGAGAAGACCACAGGAAGAUGAAGGCAGAGAUUUGAUUCCAGACGUCUAGCCUCCAGAACUGGGAGAAAAUAAACUUCUGUCAUUGAAGCCA
rnacentral:lncRNA from 13 species